GUGCAAAACUUUUAAACUCUUCAAGAAAUACAUUGUAUUGGUAUAUUCUUUCUUCUUUCAAUUUUCAUAUGAACAAUCAUCUUUUUUACAAAAAGAAAACAGACCCAUAAAUUCCAAAAAGAAAAAACACAGACCCACAAAAUUAUGGGAAAGCAAUUUUUUCCUAGAUCUGUUGUUCAAAGGAACAAUGGGGAAAAUAAAUAUAUGAUUCGAUUACAAAUCAGAUCCAUGGAAUAAUUGUAUCACAUCUGAUUUUAGAUCAAAAGAUUACGAGUUCAAUUCUCAUCGGAUCUAUAUCCUAUCUGAUUCUAGUCCACUUAUGUCUUAAAGGGUGUGCUUUCCUUGUGGUAUGAUGCUUCCUCUUCUACUGAACCAUCUUCUAAGGCAAGAGGAUACUGAAAGUGGCAGAGGAAGAGGCACAGGAAGAGAAACAAGAGGAAGAGCAAGUGGCAGAGGUGUUCCAACUUAAUCACAUGGAAAUGCUACAAAACAGAGACUGUAAAUGGUAGAGGGAGUGGUAGAGGUACAGGUAGAGGAGCGGGAUUAGGGAGAGAAAUGGCUCAAGAAAGAAAAUGAAUGAAGGACUAAGUAGAGGAAGAGGAAUGAAUCAUAAUAGUCAAACUAGUUCUGAAGCAAAUGCAGUGGAGGAGGCCUAGGAAGAGGGAAGAGACCAGUAGAACAUGCGGACACCAGUGGAGGACAAACAAGACCUUUUAAAAGGCCAAGAUUGGUAGGUGUUGGCAUAUACCUAGUUGAAGAUGGAUUUACAACUCUCAAUCCUGGAUUGCCAAGUAGAAGAGUCAUCAAUGCUGGUACAAGAGUUACAAAGAGGGCUGAUGUUGUCACUGGUGAUAUUGGCUGCACACCAGUACGUGGAUUCAAAUGGAAGGGGAAGACAACUAUUACCAGUAGCAACCUGGAAAGAAUGAGGGCUGAAAAGGUUAUCCAAACUAGGUCUGUAACUGCUGCUAAUGCUGCUAAUAGCCAAGGCCAAACAACUUCAAGUAGGAAGACUUCAUUUUGAUGUUGUUUUGUUCAUUUUGACAAACAAAAUUUAACUAUGCAUAUUUUUGUGUUGUUUUUUGUUGGAAACAAACUUAGUUUUGCAUGUAACCAAACAAACUUGAAUGGUUGGAAUCAAACGCGAUUAUGAA